rnacentral:rRNA from 1 species
ACUCAAAUGAAUUGACGGGGGCCCGCACAAGCGGUGGAGUAUGUGGUUUAAUUCGAAGCAACGCGCAGAACCUUACCUACCCUUAACAUCCCAGGAAGCUUGCAGAGAUGUAAGCGUCUUUUCGGAGACCUGGAGAUAGGUGCUGCAUGGCUGUCGUCAGCUCGUGUCGUAAGAUGUCUGGUUAAGUCCAAUAACGAGCGCAACCCUUGCCCUUAGUUACCAUCAUUAAGUUGGGGACUCUAGGGGGACUGCCGGUGUUAAACCGGAGGAAGGCGGGGAUGACGUCAAGUCCUCAUGGCCCUUACGGGUAGGGCUACACACGUACUACAAUGGCAGAAACAGACCGUUGCGAAGCCGCGAGGUGGAGCUAAUCGGUAAAACACUGUCUCAGUCCGGAUUGAAGUCUGCAACUCGACUUCAUGAAGCUGGAAUCGCUAGUAAUCGCUGAUCAGCAAGCAGCGGUGAAUACGUUCCCGGGCCUUGUACACACCGCCCGU